AAAAAAGCAGUGGUCUGUUUCCUACAUGAGCAGUCCUCCCGUAACCUUCAGGAAUAUCUAAACCAUUGUUUUUGGGUGAACCUGUGUUCUUUGCUCAUGACUAAAGGUUCAGUAAAUGAUGUAACAUUU